UACGUAGGGGGCAAGCGUUGUCCGGAAUCAUUGGGCGUAAAGAGCGUGUAGGCGGUUCAGUAAGUCUGCUGUGAAAGUCCAGGGCUCAACCCUGGGAUGCCGGUGGAUACUGCCUGGCUUGAGUCCGGAAGGGGCGAGUGGAAUUCCUGGUGUAGCGGUGAAAUGCGCAGAUAUCAGGAGGAACACCAAUGGCGAAGGCAGCUCGCUGGAACGGUACUGACGCUGAGGCGCGAAAGCGUGGGGAGCGAACAGG
rnacentral:rRNA from 1 species